rnacentral:rRNA from 1 species
GACGAAGGUGGCGAGCGUUGUUCGGAAUCACUGGGCAUAAAGCGCACGUAGGCGGUGGCGUAAGUCGGGUGUGAAAUCCCUCGGCCCAACCGAGGAACUGCGCCCGAUACUGCGUUGCUUGAGGACCAAAGGGGUGCAUGGAAUUUCCGGUGGAGCGGUGAAAUGCGUUGAUAUCGGAAGGAACGUCGGCGGCGAAAGCGGUGCACUGGUUGGUCUCUGACGCUGAGGUGCGGAAAGCCCAGGGGAGCAAACGGG